UACAGAGGAGCCAAGCGUUGUUCGGAUUGACUGGGCGUAAAGCGCACGCAGGCGGACGCGCGCGUGGGGUGUGAAAUCUGGCCGCUUAACGGCCAGGCGCCAUCCCAUACGGCGCGUCUGGAGUGAUGCAGAGGUCGGUGGAAUUGCCGGUGUAGUGGUGAAAUGCGUAGAGAUCGGCAGGAACACCCAGGGGGAAACCAGCCGACUGGGCAUCUACUGACGCUGAGGUGCGAGAGCGUGGGGAGCGAACCGG
rnacentral:rRNA from 1 species